rnacentral:rRNA from 1 species
AUACGGAGGGUGCGAGCGUUAAUCGGAAUUACUGGGCGUAAAGGGUCCGCAGGCGGUCUGCUUAGUCUGAUGUGAAAGCCCCGGGCUUAACCUGGGAAUGGCAUUGGAUACUGGCGGACUAGAGUCUGGUAGAGGGUGGUGGAAUUCCCGGUGUAGCGGUGAAAUGCGUAGAUAUCCGGAGGAACACCAGUGGCGAAGGCGGCCACCUGGACCAAGACUGACGCUGAGGGACGAAAGCGUGGGGAGCGAACAGGAUUAGAAACCCCGGUAGUCC